GACGAACGCUGGCGGCGUGCCUAAUACAUGCAAGUAGACCGGAGUUUCGAACGGGUGAGUAACGCGUAGGUUACCUGCCUCAUAGCGGGGGAUGACUAUUGGAUACGAUAGCUAAUACCGCAUAUCAUUGGAUGGACAUGCGUUGUAUUAGCUAGUUGGUGAGGUAAAGGCUCACCAAGGCGUCGAUACAUAGCCGACCUGAGAGGGUGGUCGGCCACACUGGGACUGAGACACGGGCCAGACUCCUACGGGAGGCAGCAGUGGUGAAUAUUGGACAAUGGGCGAAAGCCUGAUCCAGCCAUGCCGCGUGUGUGAAGAAGGUCUUCGGAUUGUAAAGCACUUUAAGUUGGGAGGCGUUACCAACAGAAUAAGCACCGGCUAACUUCGUGCCAGCAGCCGCGGUAAUGC
rnacentral:rRNA from 1 species